rnacentral:misc_RNA from 1 species
GAAAUGCGAUAAGUAAUGUGAAUUGCAGAAUUCAGUGAAUCAUCGAAUCUUUGAACGCACAUUGCGCCCGUCAGUAUUCUGGCGGGCAUGCCUGUUCGAGCGUCAUUUCAACCAUCAAGCUUUAGGCUUGUGUUGGGGCACUGCGGCUGCCGCAGUCCCCUAAAAGCAGUGGCGGACUCGCUGUCAUACCGAGCGUAGUAGUAUAUCUCGCUAGGGCAUGGCGGCGGGCACCAGCCGUAAAACACACCAAACAAGGUUGACCUCGGAUCAGGUAGGAAUACCCGCUGAACUUAA